ACGGAGGGGACUAGCGUUGUUCGGAAUUACUGGGCGUAAAGCGCACGUAGGCGGACUAUUAAGUCAGGGGUGAAAUCCCGGGGCUCAACCCCGGAACUGCCUUUGAUACUGGUAGUCUUGAGUUCGAGAGAGGUGAGUGGAAUUCCGAGUGUAGAGGUGAAAUUCGUAGAUAUUCGGAGGAACACCAGUGGCGAAGGCGGCCAACUGGUCCGAUACUGACGCUGAGGCGCGAAAGCGUGGGGAGCAAACAGGA
rnacentral:rRNA from 1 species